CGACCGGGUCGGACAGUCGCGUGCGCAGUGCCCAACGGCCGCGUAUGAGGAAAGUCCGGGCUCCCCAGGGCAAGGAUAACGGGUAACGCCCGCCGAAGGCGACUUCAGGAAAAGUGCAACAGAGAUAUACCGCCUCGCAAGAGGUAAGGGUGGAAAGGUGCGGUAAGAGCGCACCCGAUGGCGUGGAAGCGUCCAUCGCUGCAAACUCUAUCCGGAGCAACACCGUGGAGGAAACAAGGCUGGCCCGGCUGUUUCCGAGGAGGUGGCUGGAUCGCCGCGGCAACGCGGCGGCUAGAUAGAUGACUGUCUGAGACAGAACCCGGCUUAUAGACCCGAUCGUGUA
rnacentral:RNase_P_RNA from 1 species